AAUAUUUAUAACCCCAAAGACACAAUUGAUUCUAUUUUAAACAAAUCAUUUUACCUCCUUAGUACGGGAGACGGAAGAGGAACUAUAGGAGCAAUAGAGAAAGUACCGCAAGGGAAAGC
rnacentral:rRNA from 1 species